rnacentral:rRNA from 1 species
UACAGGGGGUGCAAACGUUGCUCGGAAUCAUUGGGCGUAAAGCGCACGUAGGCGGUUUGUUAUGUCGGAUGUGAAAGCCCUUGGCUCAACUGAGGAAGUGCAUCCGAAACUGGCAAGCUAGAGUACUAAAGAGGGUCGCGGAAUUCCCGGUGUAGCGGUGAAAUGCGUAGAGAUCAGGAGGAACACCCGUGGCGAAGGCGGCCCUCUGGCUCGACCCUGACGCUGAGGCGCGAAAGGCGUGGGGAGCGAACGGG